UGAAGAUCAUGGCAUCUGGUCCCAUCACUUCAUGGAAAAUAGAUGGGGAAACAGUAUUCACAGCGAAUAUCAGCAUGUGAAAAGAGCAUGUGCUCCUGACUUCAGAGAAAAAUCCUGGUGAAUCCAUUUUUCCAAUCUUCCUUAAUUUGUGGCCCUCCUUCCUCUUCCCUCAUUUGGUCACACCUUCAUAAUUCCCACAAAAUGUACUGCAGACCAGUUUGGGAAAUGCUGUUUGAGCUGAACUGUCAAUCAAGGUCAAAGGACACUCCAGUGCUCUUCUUACAAGUCUAACUUGUCUGCCUCCUCCAGGAAUCCUCUAAGCACCCUGUGAAGGGGACAGGUGUAGUGACUUCCCAAGGCUGGUAGUCAAAUCUCCUCUUGCCUUCCUUCUUUUCCCUUCCCUUUCCCAGCCUUCUCUUCCCUUUCCCACCCCUCCCUCUUUUUCCUUUAAGCCACAAUAGUACUUUCACAGCAGAGGAUCACCCCAACUUGGUUAUAAACUCUUAAUAUGUCACAAAAAUCUUAGAUCUCCACUCUGCUGUGCUCACAGUAAUCUGUCAAUAAAUAUUGAUGGAUAAUUGAAGAACUCAAAGCAAUGGAUUAGAUGACAGAAAAAAUUGAAAGAAUUCAUCCCUAAGAGUGUGUGUGGUUGAAAACAAGGCUGAUUCAGAGGCAAGAGAAUCUUGAGGAUGGGCAGUAGCAUUGGGCAAGGUUGUAUCAUCUUCCUGGAGCUCAGUCCAGGAAGUAUUGGAUUCAUAGCAGCACAAUUGGGAUCCACAGUGACGUCAAACUCAGUCAAUACCUAUGGAUAAUGAUGUAUUCCCCUGGAGCAAAUCACAAUCCGUUUGACUACCUUUGUUCUUCUAGUCAAAAAGUUACAAGAAAAUCUCAUUACUUUCAUCCCACCUCUAGUUUUUUUUGUCCCCCAAGGAUGCUAUUCAAUUCUAAAAGCCCUUGAGAAGCUCCCCAAGGUAUACUGUUUCUUGCUUUUACUACAUCUCCUGAUUAUAACUUUUUUUUUUGAUUCCUUGAAAAAUGCUAUAAUAGCCUUUUACUGUAAAUAGUGACUACUACCCUCAGAUUUAACUCUCCCAAAAGAAAGACACAAAAGCAACUCCAGUAUGAGGGUAUAAGGAGGAGGUGGUGGCUAUUAUACCACUAGGAUUUAUAUGGUAUUAUAAAUUUCUAUAAAAGUGGGAAUUACAGAGAAUCUACUUGCCUUCCUGGUUACAACCUGGUUGCCUUAUAGAAUAUUCCACUUCUGUUCACUGUAGAGCAUGGGCAGGUUAAGAUUUCUCUUUAGAUGAAUAGAUCAACAGAUAGAGAUGUAUAAGUUUUAUAUAGUCUAGGAUUAUUACAUCAGCUUUUACUUUGUAAAUAUAAAUGAUAUUUACUAUAAGAUCUGUAUUUAUUUAAAAAAAAAUUGAGCCUGUGAAAGCACUUGCAAAUAGACACAUGAAAGUAUAAAGUGUUCAAAUUCCUUCAAUAUAGUAUUUUUGUCACAAAUAUGGUUAUGAGAAAUUUUAGUUUGUACUGUUCACCGUAGAAAGGACAUUUAACAAAGAAGAUGCAGUGUUAUGGAAUUCAACUCUGGAUUCUGACAACAAAGGACCAGCAUACCCAUCUAAUUUUUUUUCAUUCUUAACAUUUCAAUCAACCAAAUGACACAUGUUGCCUGCCAUUUAAUAUAGUCUCUGUAUUCAAGGAUCACUUCAGACUUUCAGGUUUACUUGAUGAAGAGUUUGGACUGAUGUCAUCAGGGAAUGCUUCCUGGUGGAGGCAGUAUUUGGGCCGUGAAUGGUGGCUAGCAUUUGGACAGACAUUUCCUCGGUGGGAAUGAGUGAGGAGUGCUUUUAGGCUUUCGGAAUACCAUCAUGAAUGGUGCAGAAAUGACAAGAGCACUACCUUUGUCAGGGUAGUGCUCCAGUCAUGGACUGAAGUGCAGUCCCUAAACAAAAAAGCAAUGGAGAAUAAUGCUGGGCAUGUCCACUUUGGAAAUUGCUGAGUGGUGAUUUUGCUAUCUUCCUAUGGUCCAGCCUCUUUUACCUUAGUAUUGUAACGUGCUGACCUAUCCUAAUCCAUUGCGAGAUAUAUCAGUAAUUUGACUCUGGGGAAAAUAACAAGUAGAGAUUUUGUUGACCUAUAUUUGUUUUAUGUAAAUUAAAGCUGCUGCUUUUAUAA